CAGCUUUUUGCGUUUUAUUUUUUUUCAUGUCAAUCACAUUCUUUAGCAAUUUAGGCCGUCGAACAGCUCCGCAUGCGGCGCUUUUUUUCAGCAUGUCUUCCCUCUGCUUCUUGAGUUCAUCGAAUGAAACCUGUUAACACAGCUGACGACAAAGCUUCGAGCAGGGACCGCACGUUGGGGUAUCGGUGCCACCAAGUCAGCUGUGUCCAUAACAGCACUCUCCAAAAGACUGCCUUCUGCUACAGCCAAUUCAUCAAGACCCAGCUCAGCAGCAGGUACCUGUGAAGCAAGCCCUUGGUUACAGCCAGUAGGGUCUCCCUCCAUCACUGUAAAUGUCACUGCUCCAUUUUUACCUUCUGCUGCAACUAGAGGUAGUGACUGGUCAAGUACUACUGAGCUACCCCCCGAACCAUUUUGUUGAAUAAGAAAUGAAGCUGCAUCUAGUUGCUGCUCCACAUUUGUACCACUGGAGUCUCCUGAUGGUGUGAUGGAGAUGUUGAUAUUACCCUGCUGUUGCAGUUGUUGCAAAUGCUGCAGAAAGGAAGCAUCAAUCUGCACUGUCUGUGUAGAAGGGUUGAGUCCUGUAAUCUGAAUGCCUGGAGCUAGCUGCAACUGGAUCUCACCCAUGAUUCCCUCAGCAUCAGUGGGCUCUUCCGGGAUCGUCUCGUGUGAAGCCUUUUCCUCUCGUUGUAGCAGACGACUUCGUCGCCGUACACCCCCACUCUUAAAAUGUGUCAUAAUAUGGCUUUUGCGAUGACCGGAUGUCCGAAAACGAAGGUCACAGUGGGGGCACUUGAAAGGACGGGAACCUUCGAGUAAAUAAGAAAAUACAAGAAGCAUACUUGAGACAGUAAUACUAUAGUACACUCUUAGAGAUAAAUUCCGAAAUUUUGCAUUCCUUAGGCCACUUUCUAGAAGAGCCUUUCAUGGUUCCUUUUGCCAAAAGAUGCCUGGAAGAUGCAAGUCUAUCUCAAAAGGUCCUUUCACUUAUCCUCACCUAAGAAUAGUCUUCUAUGUAUCUAGGUUAGUGGGCAUUCUUCACAGGCUUCCCAAUGUCUUUAUUCAGCAAAAUAAAGAUUGUUGAUCAAACACAC